UGAAUCACUCGGCAGUCGAACUCCGUACAAGAUUUGCUACACUGAUCCUGCAUGGACUUUUUGCUUUCCUGAAUCUUUUCUGAUUGCAGCUGCUAAAGAUCAUGCCAGGAAUAAAGCUCUCAGCAUAAAUCACAUGCAUAGACUUGAGGACCAGUGAAGGGAGUGAGCAUGGAGUUACUGGAAAGGCAGCUGUUCCUUAGGAGGUUGAUGGAUGCCUAGAAAAGGAGGAAGGGAUUUUCAUACUAUGAAGUAGCCUUAACAGCUGAUGGACAGAAUCUAAGAGUCUUGAGUGACCCCUAACCAAUUGGGAAGGGACAGAGAAAGAUGAAGGGAUAAGGGAACCUGUCUCAACAAACAGGUAAUGCAUUUUCAGAGUGCAGUCCAGGUAACGAGUACAUUUUAUGCCUCUGCCUUUUGACUCCAGACUGGGAGCUAUAAAGCGAUAAAACAAUGUACUAUGCAAAAAGGAAAAAAAAAAAAACAUGGGACAUAUCAAAGCAUG